rnacentral:rRNA from 1 species
GACGAACGCUGGCGGCGUGCCUAAUACAUGCAAGUAGGACGCAGUUGCGAACGGGUGAGUAACGCGUAGGUAACUACCUAUUAGAGGGGGAUAACUAUUGGAAACGAUAGCUAAUACCGCAUACUAGUAGAUGGACCUGCGUUGUAUUAGCUAGUAGGUAGGGGAAUGGCCUACCUAGGCAACGAUACAUAGACGACCGGAGAGGGGUAUCGGCCACAACGGGACAUGUACACGGGCCAGACUCCUACGGGAGGCAGGAGUAGGGAAUCGUCGGCAAUGGGGGGAACGCUGACCGAGCAACGCCGCGUGAGUGAAGAAGGUUUUCGGAUCGUAAAGCUCUGUUGUUAAGGAAGCGGUACUUAACCAGAAAGGGACGGCUAACUACGUGCCAGCAGCCGCGGUAAUAC